GUAGGUGGCAAGCGUUGUCCGGAAUUAUUGGGCGUAAAGCGCGCGCAGGCGGUUCUUUAAGUCUGAUGUGAAAGCCCACGGCUCAACCGUGGAGGGUCAUUGGAAACUGGAGAACUUGAGUACAGAGGAGGAAAGCGGAAUUCCACGUGUAGCGGUGAAAUGCGUAGAGAUGUGGAGGAACACCAGUGGCGAAGGCGGCUUUCUGGUCUGUAACUGACGCUGAGGCGCGAAAAGCGUGGGGAGCAAACAGGAUUAGAUACCCUGGUAGUCCACGCCGUAAAACGAUGAGUGCUAAGUGUUAGGGGGUUUCCGCCCCCCUUAGUGCUGCAGCUAACGCAUUAAGCACUCCGCCUGGGAGUACGGCCGCAAGGCUG
rnacentral:rRNA from 1 species